rnacentral:rRNA from 1 species
UACAGAGGUCCCAAGCGUUGUUCGGAUUCACUGGGCGUAAAGGGUGCGUAGGUGGCCAGGUAAGUUCGGUGUGAAAGCUCGGAGCUUAACUCCGAAAUGUCAUUGAAUACUAUCUGGCUAGAGGGUCGGAGGGGAGACUGGAAUUCUCGGUGUAGCAGUGAAAUGCGUAGAUAUCGAGAGGAACACCAGUGGCGAAGGCGAGCUCUGGACGACACCUGACACUGAGGCACGAAAGCUAGGGGAGCAAACAGG